rnacentral:rRNA from 1 species
GAUGAACGCUGGCGGCGUGCCUAAUACAUGCGAGUCGAGCGAACAGACGAGGAGCUUGCUCCUCUGACGUUAGCGGCGGACGGGUGAGUAACACGUGGAUAACCUACCUAUAAGACUGGGAUAACUUCGGGAAACCGGAGCUAAUACCGGAUAAUAUAUUGAACCGCAUGGUUCAAUAGUGAAAGACGGUUUUGCUGUCACUUAUAGAUGGAUCCGCGCCGCAUUAGCUAGUUGGUAAGGUAACGGCUCACCAAGGCGACGAUGCGUAGCCGACCUGAGAGGGUGAUCGGCCACACUGGAACUGAGACACGGUCCAGACUCCUACGGGAGGCAGCAGUAGGGAAUCUUCCGCAAUGGGCGAAAGCCUGACGGAGCAACGCCGCGUGAGUGAUGAAGGUCUUCGGAUCGUAAAACUCUGUUAUUAGGGAAGAACAAAUGUGUAAGUAACUAUGCACGUCUUGACGGUACCUAAUCAGAAAGCCACGGCUAACUACGUG